rnacentral:misc_RNA from 1 species
GAUGAAGAACGCAGCGAAAUGCGAUACGUAAUGUGAAUUGCAGAAUUCAGUGAAUCAUCGAAUCUUUGAACGCAUAUUGCGCUCUUUGGUAUUCCGAAGAGCAUGCUUGUUUGAGUAUCAGUAAACACCUCAAAGUCUUUUUUUCUUGAAGAAAAAGACCUUGGACUUGAGCAAUCCCAACUCUUCUUUCAGAAGAGGCGGGUUGCUUGAAAUGCAGGUGCAGCUGGACAUUCUCCUGAGCUAAAUCAUAUUCAUUUAGUCCCGUCAAACGGAUUAUUACUUUUGCUGCAGCUAACAUAAAGGGAGUUUGACCAUUUUGGCUGACUGAUGCAGGAAUUUCACAAGAGUCUUCAAAACGCUCUUGUUAAACUCGAUCUCAAAUCAAGUAAGACUACCCGCUGAACUUAAGCAUAUCAAUAAGCGGAGGA